rnacentral:misc_RNA from 2 species
ACACCCAUCAAGCCUGGCUUGGUCUUGGGCGACGGGACCUCCCCGCGCCCCGAUUUCGCCGGCUGGACGACCCCGCACUCUCAGCGUUGUGACGCACUGUCGCUGUCGAGGUGGGCGGCCACGCCGUUAACCCCAAUCAAAUCA